UACGGAAGGCAGCAGUGGGGAAUAUUGCACAAUGGGCGAAAGCCUGAUGCAGCUAUGCCGCGUGUAUGAAGAAGGCCUUAGGGUUGUAAAGUACUUUCAUCGGGGAGGAAAAAACAAAACUAAUAAUUUUAUUUCUUGACGUUACCCGAAAAAGAAGCACCGGCUAACUCCGUGCCAGCAGCCGCGGUAAUACGGAGGGUGCUAGCGUUAAUCAGAAUUACUGGGCGUAAAGAGCACGUAGGUGGUUUUUUUAAGUCAGAUGUGAAAUCCCUGGGCUUAACCUGGAACUGCAUUUUGAAACUGAAAUACUAGAGUAUCGUAGAGGGAGGUAGAAUUCUAGGUGUAGCGGUGAAAUGCGUAGAUAUCUGGAGGAAUACCUGUGGCGAAAGCGGCCUCCUAAACGAAUACUGACACUGAGGGUGCGAAAGCGGUGGGGAGCAAACGAGGAUUAGAUA
rnacentral:rRNA from 1 species